rnacentral:miRNA from 1 species
UUAUGGAGCGAGAGAGAGAGAGGGAGAGAGAGAGAGACUAAAUGAUGUCUACACAUUCCUCUAGUUGACUCGCCGUGCUUCACACUCUCCCUCUCUCUCUCUCUCUCUGUCGCUUUUC